rnacentral:rRNA from 1 species
AGCGAACGCUGGCGGCAGGCUUAACACAUGCAAGUCGAGCGGGCAUAGCAAUAUGUCAGCGGCAGACGGGUGAGUAACGCGUGGGAACGUACCUUUUGGUUCGGAACAACUGAGGGAAACUUCAGCUAAUACCGGAUAAGCCCUUACGGGGAAAGAUUUAUCGCCGAAAGAUCGGCCCGCGUCUGAUUAGCUAGUUGGUGAGGUAAUGGCUCACCAAGGCGACGAUCAGUAGCUGGUCUGAGAGGAUGAUCAGCCACAUUGGGACUGAGACACGGCCCAAACUCCUACGGGAGGCAGCAGUGGGGAAUAUUGGACAAUGGGCGCAAGCCUGAUCCAGCCAUGCCGCGUGAGUGAUGAAGGCCCUAGGGUUGUAAAGCUCUUUUGUGCGGGAAGAUAAUGACGGUACCGAAAGAAUAAGCCCCGGCUAACUUCGUG